CAGCUCAAGAUACCACACGAGGACAGAUGCCAUCUGUCUAUCAAGUGCUGUUAAUGGAGGUUUCUUUUUUUAGCUUGAGACCAGCAUCUCCAAUCUGGUUUGUAACCUUGAACUGCUAGACUGAACUUUAGAAGAUCAACUGUGAAGGUCUUUCACAGGGGAGGCAGAGGCGCUUUCUGAUGAUGGCACCAGAAAUUCUGCAACUGACCGGACUGAUGACAAACUAUGCUUGCAGUCGACCCCAUGACUGGAGGAUAUAUAUGAGACAACGAGAUGCUCAAUUCAUUCUGAGGGCAGAGUAGUGAUGGCAGUUGGGGGUGGAGGACUUAAAUAACUCCUCAAGUUGCUGCAUCUCGCCUACCCGGAUUCAGUAGUUGUAGUAGUAUUUUUAGCUGAAAAGUCGUAAAGGAAGCAGUCAGUCCAGUCGUGUUUGUGGAAAGGUAUUCCUUCAGAAAUGGAGAAGACAGAAAGCUGUGGAGUCACACAUUUGCAGCGGUAGAAGAGAAGGAAGACAAAGGAAAUUCUUUGAUCAGGAUGAGGAAUGAAGAUGGCCAUCUUGUGCCCAAAUGAAGACAGAAAGCUGUGCAAGUCCACUGGUCUGGGAACUCUCUGAAAAUGGGAUGUUAGGACUGAGAGACCCUCUGGCCGAGAAAAAGCUACACCACAUCGGUGCUGGAUGUCAACCACAAACUCUUUACAGACACGAGAGAAGAAGAUCAUGAUGGGGAAAUGGAUGGGGAAGAGCAAGAAACCAGUUUAGAUGUGAUAAGGAAUCAUUAUUUUCUGAAACAGUAUCAAAUGUCUUAUAUGUAUCACAUGAUCUGCAGCACAGGUGACUGGAUGGGAUUGUUUGACUUUUAAGGACAUUUCAUCACUCAUUUGUGUGAACUGAUUAAUAUAUGAUUUUAAUGUAUUUUUG
ensembl:lncRNA